GUUUUUAAAUUUUUAAAUAGAAUGUUUGUAGUGUUGACACCUGACAUUUUUGCUUUUGUUAUUAGAUAUAGAUAGAUUCAACAACCAAAAACAACGACAAAAUCAUCACCAGCAACAAUCAGCCUCUUCAACAGCAAUCAGCAAUACAACAAACAACCGACAUAUUUCAACGAAAACCCGAUCCACCAAAUACCAAUGUAUAACCAACAACAAUUUCAAUGCAAAAUCAGACCCGACCCGCGACCCGAUCCACCCUUAUUUCCCCUUACCUGAUCCAGCGACAUUAGCAAACAACAGACUCCAGCGAUGCCCAGCAAUAACUUUCAACGACAACAGCUGCAACAACAACGACCCCACACCAGCAACACAGGGAAAGAGAAGAGAGAAGGAUUUUGGGGGAAAAUUUAAGAGUUCUGGAGGUGCAUGCCUCUAACUUCACACGACCAAAAUCCUGACGGAAAACUAAACUCCGGCAAAGUCACUAUAAUUUCGAAGAUUGGAACUGAGUUUUGCCGGUGAUGGAAGUUUGUCAUCAAGGCUUGUUGUCCUAAGUUCGCUGCUCCGGAAAAGUUCAUUUGAACUCCAUUUAUCCUCGCAUUCAAACUCCGUCGUGUCCAAGCCUUAAUUAAAGUCCCGAAAAUGAUCUGAGAGACAAGAAACAAAGCUGUAUACACGUGGAUACAACAGAUAUACGGUGAAUAUAUGACCAAUAUAUGGUCAUGUAUACACUAUAUAUACAAAAAACGUGAAGAAAAGGAGCUGUGAUAUACAGCUGAUUUACACAGAUGAAAGAGGGUUGACAAAGGGCCAUUUAAAUAGGCCCAAAACCAAUGUUGUCCAGAUUUGAAAAUGGGCUAAUUAAGGACCCAAUUUUAAUUCUUGUAUUCAUUUUUUGUAGCUUAUAUUGUUUGUUUGUAUUAACUAAUACUUUAAAUCAAUUAAUCUAAGAUAAAUUCUCUAA